rnacentral:rRNA from 1 species
AUUGAACGCUGGCGGCAGGCCUAACACAUGCAAGUCGAGCGAGCGGCGGACGGGUGAGGAAUGGCUGGGAAACUGCCUGAGGGAGGGGGAUAACGACUGGAAACGGUAGCGAAUACCGCAUACCAUCAGACAUGCGCCGAUGGGAUUAGCUAGUGGGUGGGGUACCGGCUCACCUAGGCGACGAUCCCUAGCUGGUCUGAGAGGAUGACCAGCCACACUGGAACUGAGACACGGUCCAGACUCCUACGGGAGGCAGCAGUGGGGAAUAUUGCACAAUGGGCGCAAGCCUGAUCCAGCCAUGCCGCGUGUGUGAAGAAGGCCUUCGGGUUGUAAAGCACUUUCAGCUGGGAGGCGUUACCCGCAGAAGAAGCACCGGCUAACUCCGUGCCAGCAGCCGCGGUAAUUC